rnacentral:lncRNA from 1 species
UAUGGUGUGUGCCUCGCGCCUAAACGCCGCAGCCGCCCCUCCCGGUUCUUGCAGUUUCGCCUAUCGGAGUGGGAAGUGUGGGGACUUGGGGCGUUGCCUAGUGUUGGUUGGGGAUACAGUGCAAGCCUUGGAUCCCAAAGCUGCUUGGAUGGAUUUUACCAAACUGUAGCAUACUCAGUGCUUAGGGCUGCGUUUACUGCUCUGCUCCCAGACCCUGCAAAAUUCUCCAUUAACGUCCUUCCGUUGCAUCCUCUACCCUCCCCAGCCAUCCGACCUUGGGACUAGGGAAACGUGGACUUGGUGGGCUAUUCUGCGCUGAAGAGGCAGCAACGAGGGCUCGGUGGUAUUGGUGUUGGUCCUAGUGGAAUUGUCAAGAGGAUGCUUUUGAAGUGGCCCAGCAUCUUGGAAGUUCACCAUGCUUGCUUUGCAAGAGAUUCCUGACGCUGCAGUGAAAGAGGUCCAGUCAUUCCAGAGAGAACUUCAGUUUCAGACAAGUCAUCAAAUCCAGAAAGCAAGGAAAAAUACCCUGAAAGACGACUGGCAAAUCUCGGUGAAAGAGUAGACGCACUUCAUGGAUUGGAGUGAAUCUUAGAGCACCUGGUACCUUGCACAGGACCUGAUGCCUGGAGGUACAGCAGCCAUCUUGUGACCAUAAGGAGGAAAUCAACGCAUUAAGAAGGGAAAAGCUAAGAAGAUACAGAGAGCAGGGACCACUGACAACAUGAUCAAGCCACUCUACCAGGCCUUAACUUCCUAUUCCCUGACUUCUUAUUGAAAGAGACAAUAAAACUUCUCAUUUGUUUUAACCCAUAGAAGUAAGGCAUUCUGUUACUUAUGGGUGAACACAAUUCUUAACUGAUGCCAUGGUUUAAUGGGAGUAGGGAUCCUGGUAUGACAGGAAAUUGAGAUAAUCAGUUUAUGGCUAGUGUAGCAGCUCCAAGACACGAUUAAUGUCCCAAGCUCUUUUGCCCUCCUGACUUGCUAGCCUCAGUAUGUGGAUUUUGUUCUCCCAGUCUGAAGGCAUAACUUUUGGGGAAGAGUAAAAGAAGCCCUCUCCAGAGAUCUGCUACAUCUCAUUGGCCAGAACUCUAACAUUUGGCCGCCACUACCUAGUUGCAAGUGAAUCUGAGAAGGUGAGUGUUUUUUCAUUUCAGGCUUUAUGAAAUAGAAAGGCAAAGGAAGGGGGGUUUGAGCAGCCUUUGAACAGCCAGUUCACGUUUUUGCUAUACUGCUCUAGUCAGGUUUUCUAUUACCAGCAGCCUAAUACAAUUUCCAGGUGCCCCAAGUUGUGCUGACAACUUGGUGUAUAAGAGAGACAGUGCUUUGGGGUUAGUAUGAUCAGGGAAAGUUCACUGACAAAGUGGCAACCUAAGGCAAAUUACAUCACACUUUUUCUCUGCUUGUAAGUAAGUCUGAAUGUUCCAUGUUUUCCUGACCUAUUCUUAACCGAUUCCUGCUCCUCCUGAGUUGUUAUACAUAAAUUAGUUUUGGUUUUCUGCCUUCUUCUAAUAUAUAGCAAUACCUCUGUUUAUUGAAGGUGAAGGCAAAUACAGUUUGCAUUAGUCUGUUUUCACACUGCUAUAAAGAUACUACCUGAGACUGGGUAAUUUAUAAAGGAAAGAGGUUUCAUUGACUCACAGUUCAGCAUGGCUGGGGAGGCCUCAGGAAACUUACAAUCACAGCAGAAGGCAACGGGGAAGCAAGGCACAUCUUACAUGGCAGCAGGAGAGAGAAAGAGAGAGAGAGUGAAAGGGAAUUGCCAAACACUUUUAAACCAUCAGAUCUUGUGAGAACUCACUAUCAGGAGAAUAGCAGGGGGAAACCACCCCCGUGAUCCAGUCAUCUCCUACCAGAUUCCUCCCUCGACACAUGGAAAUUACAAUUCAAGAUGAGAUCUGGGUGGGAACACAGAACCAAACCAUAUCACAGAUGCUCCUUAUGAUAGGGUUACAUCCCAAUAAACCCUUUGUAAAUUGAAAAUAGUGUACAUCAAAAUGCAUUUAAUACAUCGAACCUAUCACACAUUAUAACUUAGCCUAACCUACCUUAAAUGUGCUUAGAAUACUUACAUUAGCCUACAGUUGGGCAAAAUCAUCUAACACAAAGCCUAUUUUAUAAUAAAGUAUUGAAUAUCUCAUGUCAUUUAUUAAAUGCUGUACCAAAAGUGAAAAAACAGAAUGGUUUUAUGGGUACUUGAAAUGUAAUAUCUAUUGAAUGUGUAUCGCUUUGGCACUAUUGUGAAGUUGAAAAAUCUUAAGAUGAACAGUCAUAAGUCGGGGACUGUCUGUAAAGUGUACCCACACAACUGAAGACUUGGUUUAUCAUGAAGCUUUUUCCAACCUUAUCUCCUAUCUGCUCUCCCCUUACAUUCCUGUCUCCACCCUACCCUCAAGCAUCCAUCAGAGAAAUGGUCAAAGCGUAAAGGGGAAUGCCUUUGGAUUCAUGGGAAGCUCAGUUAAGUGGGCUGUGAGCCUCCUCUUGCCCCAUCACUCAUCCUGUUCUGCCCACAGGAAAAUCUGACCAUAUGUUUCAUUUAACACAAAAUUCGAGAGUAUCUCCUAAACAGUAUUUUCCCCCAUAAAUGAACUCUGUAAACUUUUCAGUGCCAUAAAUAACUGGUAUGAUAUAUCAAGUUACUCUCUUGCUUCCCAGCCAAGCCCUGUUGAAAUCCCAGAAAGCUUUCCCCAUCCUCCAGCUUAAAUCCAGCUCACCAAGUUCUCACUCCCACCUCUCAACACCCCCAUCCAAACACUCCCUCCAGUCCCCACCACAAAGAUACUCUGCCCUGGCUAAGCAACCACCCCUAAUACUGUUUCUCUCUUGGUGGGGUUUGGAUGUUUAGAAUGUCCUGAGAAUUGGGGUUCUUUGAGUGUUUAUUAUAAAAUUUUAAAAGAUGUAGAAGAAUAGAGAGUUUAGUGAACAUUCAUCUACCUAUCUGGAUUCAGCAACUGUUAGCAUUUUUGUGCUUUGAGUUGUUUCAAAAUUGUGUUUUACAGCUGGUUUGUUCAAACCAGGAUCUAAAGAUUUUCUCACCCCUCAGUGUUACAGUAGCUAGGCAGGCAGAGAUGAGCAGGGCAGGAGAGGACCUCCCUCCAACAACAGGCAUGCCAGGCAACCAUCAGGUCAUGGUCAGGUGAUUGUUAACUGUCUCUCUAAAAUAAUAAUUGGUUGUGGCCCCGUGCCAGAGAGAGGCAGUCUCCCAACAGAUAGAAACACCUGAAACUGGUAAUCAGCAGCUUCCCAAUAAGAUUUCAGGAGUUGGGCGAGUGGGCUCAAACAUGUGCACUAAGAGGCAAAAUGGCAGAGUUUAAAGGGUAUAUGAACACUGGGUAAAGGAAGAAUUCCUCAAGUGAGCACGUGUACAACUUCAGUAAACACACUGUGCAUGUGGCCCCUCCCAACUGCUGGCAGGCCACUGUGCAUGUGGACAGCCCACCCCAAGGGAAGCAUCAGGGUAAGGGAGGAGACCACCCCUCAUAUUGUCUUAUGCCCAAUUUCUGCCUCCAAAGAAAGAAGAAGUAAAAACUAAAAGGCAGAAAUGAAAUUCUCAGGCAGACAGCCCGGCGCCGUGCCCUGGGCCUGGUUAAAGAUCGACCCCUGACCUAACCAGUUAUGUUAUCUAUAGAUUCCAGAUAUUGUAUGGAAGAGCAUUGUAAAAAUCCCUGUCCUGUUCUGUUCCGUUCUGAUUACCAGUGCAUGCAUCCCCCAGUCACGCACCCCCUGCUUGCUCAAUCGAUUACGACCCUCUCACGUGGACCCCCUUAGAGUUGUAAGCCCUUAAAAGGGACAGGAAUUGCUCACUUGGGGAGCUCGGUUUUUGAGACAUGAGUCUUGCCAACACUCCCGGCCGAAUAAAGCCCUUCCUUCUUUAACUUGGUGUCUGAGAGGUUUUGUCUGUGGCUAGUCCUGCUACAAGGGGAGAAGGGAUGCAACUCCCAAGAAAUAUGCCCUCAUAUAAAAUCCCAAGUCAAAGGUCAAACUGUGCCCUUGACUGGCUCAAGUCGUUAGCUUGGCCCUCUUUCAAAUGUACUUUAUUUCCUUUUGUUUCUGCUCUAAAGCUUUUUAAUAAACGUUCUCUCCUGCUCUGAAGCCUGCCUCAGUAUCUCCUUCUGCCUUAUGCCCCUUGGUUGAAUUAUUUCUUCUGAAGAGGCAAGAAUUGAGGUUGCUGCAGACCCAUACUUUGGUGCCGCCUGACUUGGAUACGUUCCCUAACUGCUAACACCAGGACAUGUUAACCCUUUUCUUGCAUGUAAUUUAUUGCACAAUAACUUUUUAAAAAUUUUGAGUGCUGUAAAAGGAAAAUAAAAUCUCAGGCCCAGAAACUCACUAAGCUGAAGGGCUCAGUGGGAACUGGGUCACACAAAGGAUGAAGGGCAAGCUGGGAAC